rnacentral:rRNA from 1 species
AGACGGAGGGGGCAAGCGUUAAUCGGAAUUACUGGGCGUAAAGCGCUCGUAGGCGGUUGAUUAAGUCGGAUGUGAAAGCCCAGGGCUCAACCUUGGAACUGCAUUCGAUACUGGUCGACUAGAGUACAGUAGAGGCAAGUGGAAUUUCCUGUGUAGCGGUGAAAUGCGUAGAUAUAGGAAGGAACAUCAGUGGUGAAGGCGACUUGCUGGACUGAUACUGACGCUGAGGAGCGAAAGCGUGGGGAGCGAACGGGAUUAGAAACCCCAGUAGUCC